rnacentral:tRNA from 1 species
GAGGGUAUAGCUCAGUGGUAGAGUGUCUGCUUAGCAUGCAGGAGGUCCUGGGUUCAAUCCCCAGUACCUCUG